rnacentral:rRNA from 1 species
CACGCNGUAAACGAUGAGUGCUAGGUGUUAGGCCCUUUCCGGGGCUUAGUGCCGGAGCUAACGCAAUAAGCACUCCGCNUGGGGAGUACGACCGCAAGGUUGAAACUCAAAGGAAUUGACGGGGGCCCGCACAAGCGGUGGAGCAUGUGGUUUAAUUNGAAGCAACGCGAAGAACCUUACCAGGUCUUGACAUCCCGAUGCUAUUNUUAGAGAUAGGAAGUUANUUCGGUACAUNGGAGACAGGUGGUGCAUGGUUGUCGUCAGCUCGUGUCGUGAGAUGUUGGGUUAAGUCCCGCAACGAGCGCAACCCUUAUUGUUAGUUGCCAUCAUUAAGUUGGGCACUCUAGCGAGACUGCCGGUAAUAAACCGGAGGAAGGUGGGGAUGACGUCAAAUCAUCAUGCCCCUUAUGACCUGGGCUACACACGUGNUACAAUGGUCGGUACAACGAGUUGCGAGCCGGUGACGGCAAGCUAAUCUNUGAAAGCCGAUCUCAGUUCGGAUUGGAGGCUGCAACUNGCCUCCAUGAAGU